AGACGCUGUUCAAGAGAAGGCGAUCCAGAGGUCCCCAGACGCUGUUCAAGAAAAGGCGAUCCAGAGGUCCCCCAACACUGUUCAAGAGAAGGCAACCCAGCGGUCCCCCGAAUCUGUCCAAGACAAGAGGACACACCUGUCCCCGGUCCCCCGAUGCUGUCCAAGAGAAGGCGAUCCAGAGGUCCCCCGACUCUGUCCCAAGAAGUCGACCCAGCGGUCCCUUGACGCUGUCCAAGACAAGGCGAUCCAGAGGUCCCCUGACGCUGUUCAUGAGAAGGCGAUCCAGAGGUCGCCUGACGCUGUUCAAGAGAAAAUGACCCUGAAGUCCCCUGAUGCUGUCCAAGGGAAGACGACCCAGCGGUCCCCCGACGCUGUCCAAAAGAAGGGGACCCAGCUCUCCCCCGACGCUGUUCAAGAGAAGGCGAUCCAGAGGUCCCCUGACGCUGUUCAAAAAAGGCGAUCCAGUUGUCCCCCGAUGCUUUCCAAGAGAAGGGGACCCAGA